rnacentral:rRNA from 1 species
AACGAACGCUGGCGGCAUGCCUAACACAUGCAAGUCGAACGAGACCUUCGGGUCUAGUGGCGCACGGGUGCGUAACGCGUGGGAAUCUGCCCUUGGGUUCGGGAUAACAGUUGGAAACGACUGCUAAUACCGGAUGAUGUCUUCGGACCAAAGAUUUAUCGCCCAAGGAUGAGCCCGCGUAGGAUUAGCCUGUUGGUGAGGUAAGAGCUCACCAAGGCGACGAUCCUUAGCUGGUCUGAGAGGAUGAUCAGCCACACUGGGACUGAGACACGGCCCAGACUCCUACGGGAGGCAGCAGUGGGGAAUAUUGGACAAUGGGCGAAGGCCUGAUCCAGCAAUGCCGCGUGAGUGAUGAAGGCCUUAGGGUUGUAAAGCUCUUUUACCCGGGAUGAUAAUGACAGUACCGGGAGAAUAAGCCCCGGCUAACUCCGUGCCAGCCGCCGCGGUAA